AACCAGAACCAGAACCAGAACCAGAACCAGAACUCCCCGUCUGCAGCGGGUCCAGCUGAGGAGAACCGGCUGGUUUCUGCUUCUUUUCCCGUUUCCUCUUGUUUCGUAGAGCAGAGUGACCUCUGAACCCGAACGCAUCAUAGGAGCCGCCAUGUUGGGUCGGGAGGGCUGUGUGUGUGUGUGUGUGUGUGUGUGUGUGUGUGUGUGUGUGUGUGUGUGUGUGUGUGUGUGUGUGGAGGAGUAGCACAGAUCUCCAGUUCUCAGAUGGGACUGGUGUUUCCUCCUCUGUUAGCGCCUGCGGUCCGGUCCGGUCCGGUCCGGUCCGGUCCGGCGCUGGACUCGUUGUUAAAUAUGUAAAUAUUCAGUGUGGGUUUCUUCUUUUACUGUGUGGAUGUUUUAUAAACGGCUGUAAACACUCAUGACUUCACAAUAUUUAAACGGAAAUGAUCUGCUGUCGGCACCGACCCGUCACACCAGCAUCCCUGGACAGAACCAGAACCAGAACCAGUUAAAACCAGUGGAACCAGUUAGAGGACUGUGAACCAGUGACUCAGAGUGACUCAGCAGACAGUAAAGCUCGUUUCCGGGUCGAAUCGGGUUUCCUUUCUCCUCCUUCCUGUUCGUCUCGGUUCCGUUGGUUCCAAUCUGACGGACGAAGAAGAAACUGCUGAGUCGUUCUUAAAACGCCACGUCACUGGUUGCCAUGGUGAUUCCCGCCGUAGCUGAGGAGACAAUCGGUCACUGUGUGAAAACUGAAAAUGUUUUGAACUGUGAGAGCCAGGCUGAACAGAACCUUCAGAACCAAUCAGAGUGGGCGUGGCUCUCUGGGCUCUGAUUGGUCAGAAACCAGGAAGUCCUGGCUGGAAGGAGACAGAACAACCCGGAUCAGAACCGUCGUCGCUCUGAACUGGAAAGCGGAUCAGACAAUCUCCCUGUGACCCGGUUCUGAUGGUUCUGAUGGAGCGAACGACUGAGGUCCAAACAGAACCGGGUUUCUCAUCCAUCUGAUUAAAAUCAUGUUCAUAUCUGUAGUUUGGUGAAUUUCUGGAUUUUUCAGUCCAAACAGGGAAACCCAUUUGGACUGGUCUGGUUCUGAUCCAAACAGUCUCAGAGAUUCGGAUCAAGGCUUUGCUCUUAGAAAGACAGCUGGCAUGUCUGAAUAAUCCAGAAUAUCUGGGAUUAUUCCAGAGAUCUGAGAACAGAUUAGUAUGAAAUAAUAAUAAUGUUUAUGAGAUCAGAGACGACGGUCCGGUCCGGUCCGGUCCGGUCCAGAGAUGCUCCUCCAUCUUGGUUCGGUUCUCAGAACUUCAGUCGGGUUAAAUAAUCCCGUUAAUCCCAGAACCUUCACCAGGAUUUCUCUGUUUUCUGAUUCCCUUCCUGGUUCUGUUGGGUGUUUUUCUCUGAUUUCUCCAUUCUGGGUUUCGGUUCCUGGUUGUUAUUGGUUCUGUUAUUGAUCCGAUUGCUCUGAUCAGGUGUUGAUCAGCUGUUCCGGCUCCAGAGACCUGCGCAGUAUUUGGACCCAGCAGAAGAAGAGGAGCGUUUCUGUCUGGUUGUUUUGCAGGUGAACAGGAAACUGGACUGUUUGUGAUUAUUUAUGGGUUCUGGUUUCGUCCUGAUGACGUUUCUGUUCAUUUGUUCUCACUGCUGAAGAGUUCGAUCCCAAACGAAAAACAAACGGUUCCGUUUCUGUUGAUCUCAGUAGCUUCAUGACUUUAAUGUAAAAAUAUGAAUAAGCAAUAAACAUGGAGUGGUUAAACAA